ensembl:lncRNA
GUUGUUGCUAGGUAUUCUGGCUGUUCUCAGUGGUUGACAUGGUGUUGCUAGGUAGUUGCUAUUGCAUUCUGGGUGGUUGCUAGGUAUUCUGGCUGUUCUCAGUGGUUGAUAUGGCAUUGCUAGGGCAUUCUGGGUUGUUGCUAGGUAUUCUGGCUGUUCUCAGUGGUUGACAUGGUGUUGCUAGGUAGUUGCUAUUGCAUUCUGGGUUGUUGCUAGGUAUUCUGGGUGUUCUCAGUGGUUGACAUGGUGUUGCUAGGUGGUUGCUAUUGCAUUCUGGGUUGUUGCUAGGUAUUCUGGCUGUUCUCAGUGGUUGAUAUGGCAUUGCUAGGGCAUUCUGGGUUGUUGCUAGGUAUUCUGGCUGUUCUCAGUGGUUGAUAUGGCGUUGCAAGGUGGUUGCUAAGGCAUCCUAGGUGGUUACUAGG